rnacentral:tRNA from 1 species
GCCGGCAUGGCUCAGCGGGUUGAGCCUCAACCUAUGAACCCGGAGGUCCGGGUUCGAUUCCCGGUCAGGGCA